AACUUUUAGCAACGGAUCACUUGGCUCUCGCAACGAUGAAGAACGCAGCGAAAUGCGAAACGUAGUGUGAAUUGCAUAAACCUGUGAAUCAUUGAAUCUUUGAACGCACAUUGCGCUCUGCGGCGGUUCCGCGGCGGAGCAUACCUGGGUGAGAAUUGGAAGACACACUGGCCAGAGGGUUCUGGGCGAACUGGGGUGCUGACAAUGGCGUGUGCGUGCAUGCGCCGGGUCACGCUCUCAAAGGGAUGGUGCGGCGGCAGGAGCGAGGCGUGACAAGAACGGGCUUUGGCUCGUCAAGCGCUGAGCGAGAGCUGGUUUGCAUACGAAUCGUGUGGGUUAGUGGGGAGGUAUCGGUGGAUACACAAAUACCACAAAUACCACAAACACACCACAUCUCAUCAUACACAAUCUCACACAGGCAAGAGUACCCGCCGAACUUAAGCAUAUCAAUAAGCGGAGGCU
rnacentral:misc_RNA from 1 species